UUCACGUUAAAUCUUUGUGUUGUUAUUCUCUUUAAUUUCUUUGUUAUUUUUCUGCUUGAAAAACGUCCGGAAGGGGCGGGAAAAAUCGUCGAUUUUCCAACAUAAAGAGAGUAGAACAUUGUAGUUACUCCAUCUUGAGGGAGCUGGAAUCCUUAUCGAGGUUGAUUGCACUGACAUUAGUUGAAUGUUUCAAAUAUGUGAUUUACAGUAACUUGGGCUUUUCUUCCAAGUUGACGCGGUAUGCUCUUAAAAUGGGUAGUUGAGUGACUUAAAUGGAUAAUUACAACACGAAUAUCUAUAUAGAGUUCAACGAGACAGCCCAAUUGGGUGAUUGGAUCCACCACCUGUUGAGUAAGUGUGAGCUUGUUCAUUCAACUGGAGAGGGAUCCAAGAAUGUGCUGACUGAGUUGCAACUGGUUGAAUUUCAGAACGUUAAGCAUCUCCGACUGGUUCAUUGUGAUUCAUUAACACAUUCAUUGAAGAUCACUGUCAAAAUAAUAUCCGUUCCCCUAACUCGUAAGACCAUCUUUUUUGUGUGUCCUUGGCUGCAGGGAGUUAGACAAUAGCUUUCCCUGACGAUGUUGAUAAGGAUGAGGAGAUCUCUCGUAGGACACAUAUUAGACCUGAAAAGAACAUGGUCCAAGUAAUCAAGUUCCCCAAUUUGUACUCCAUAAAGCUUCAAUCUCUAGAAUGCUUCACUCACUUUUGCAGUGACACUGUUGAGGGCAUUGAGUUCCCUCUAUUACAAAUAAUGCUCUUAUGGGGUGGCUUACCUGAGUUCCAAAAUUUCUGGCCUACAGCCAACCACAAUAUCAGCAACUCAAAUCCUCUUUUUACUGAAAAGGUUUCGUGUCCCAACCUGGAAAAUCUAGAACUUUGUGGGACGGAAAACAUAACUGCUCUAUGCUCUCACCAACUUCCAACUGCCUAAUUCAGCAAACUUGAAAACUUGGAAGUGUGGGAUUGUGGAAAAUUGAGAAACUUGAUGUCUCCAUCAGUGGCCAGAGGGGUUCUGAAUCUUUGAAUACUACGUAUAAGUCGAUGUCCAUCAAUGGAAGAAGUGAUCAAAGAAGAGGAACAACAAGGAGAAGAAAUGACUAAUGAGCGCUUAUUUCCCCUGUUGGAAGAGCUUUGCCUUUAUGGACUACCAAAGCUGAGGCGUUUCAUUCUGACUAAGUAUGCUCUUAAAUUUCCAUUUCUCAGAGACGCGAAGAUUGUUGACUGUCCUGAAAUGACGACGUUUGUCCAACAGGGUUCUGUGAGUUCAGUGAGUAUUGAAAGGGUGAACAAUGACAAUGAGGUGAAAGUAGUUAUCUCAAUAACGUGAUGCUCAAUUCUAAGAUAAAAUAUUGCAUGCAGCAUUUGCCGGUACGGCUGUAGCAUUGUCCCAGGAGGGGUAUUUUGCAUCGAGAUAUUAAGGGAUCUACUUUGUUGAUUGACAAAAAUGGGAUGCUAAAAAUAGCUUUUUUGGAUUUGUAAAUCUAUGUUGCUCGGACUCUCCAAAAUGAUACCACAUCCAUGUCGGAUCCUCCACAGGUGUACUAUUUUUAGAGGAUCCUACACACAUCUAUCGCUACUUUCAAAGAGUCCGGGCAACGUAGUAGCAAACCACGUCAAUCGUGAAAAAGAACAUCCUCUUUCAAGUCGAAUUGUCACACUUUGGUAAAGAACUUCGGAAUUACUACUAAGUGCUACAGAUAAUGAAACACAGAUGGAAGUUUUAUGGGCACUAAUAUCAGAGCAGGUAUUGGAGGCAGUGGCGGAUCUACCCUUUGGCGAGGGGGUCAUCCGAACCCCCUUCGGCGAAAAAUUAUGCUAUAUACAUGGUUAAAAUUAUAUUUUAUGUAUAUAUAUUAGAUGUUGAACCCCUUUCGGUUAAUUCGUAUGUUCACUUAUAACCCCUUAGUGAAUAUCCUGACUCCGCCACAGGGGUUGUAAGGAAUGACUCUGGAAACUUAGUUAUGGCAUUCUCUAUUCCUGUCCAGUACCACAACAACAAUCAGGCUCAAGCCAUGGCUUCUAAGUGUGGAAUUGAUUGGUGCAAAUAUCACAACAUCAGCAACUUGGACAUGGAGCUAGACUCAGAGUACUGGCCAUCUCAUGUUCAACAAGAUCAUCUAUGAUAUUCUUCAUAGUAUCAAGGACAACAUUAUCCAAGUCCAACAUUUUUACAGGGAGGUUAACAGGUAGCAGACUUCUUGCUAAACGUGCGGUAUCUAGUGGAAAUGGGACCUUCUACUACUCUUUUCAAUAACUUCCGAAAGGAACGAAGGACUCUUUUCAACUUGAUAAAAGUCCAUUACCUAGUAUUAGAAUAAGAUAUGACAAGGCUAAUUUCUAAGUUUGUGACUCUAGGAUGUUUGACAGGAAGAGAACAUGUACCGGCUUAUGUCUUCCUGGAUUCUUUUUGCUAACGGGGUAAGGUCCAUGACACCUUCACUUUUGUAAUUGUUUGUUCAGUUUUAUAGACAUGGUAGGUCCAAGUCUAACCCCCCAAAACCAAAGGGUAAUGACCUUUGGUGAUGACUAAAAUAAAAAAAUAUAUAUUUACAUAUAAUUGAGAUUUACUUGAAUCAUUUUAUAACCUAAUUAAUAAUGUAA